rnacentral:lncRNA from 1 species
UUUAUUUUUUGGAAGCCAAAUUGACCUUUUCCAUUCUCUAAUUUUCGCCCUCAAUCUCUCCUCAGAUUUUCCCACAACACACGAUUCCAUCUCCAAAUUUUCUCCCCCAUUAUUCUCAACAGAUUCAUUAUUCCAAUUUUGAAUUUCAAACUAAUUCUCUCCCCAUUCAAUCAAUUUCAGAGUUUGAAAUAGGUAAUCUCUUCAUCUUCAACUUCUUUUUUAUCAUUUUUUAAAUAUUUUCUUAUACUUUAUGGAUCAUCCGUCUUUUAGUAUUAGGAUUAUCCAAAUAGUCACAACGAACACUAAUCGAAUCUUUGAUUAUGAAGAUCCUAUAACAAUGACUAAGCAAAGUUCUAAGAAGUCAAAAGCUAAAAAGGAGGCACAUGCAAAAACACCCAAGAAAAGUGGUAGAAGGGUUGCCCCGGCCAUAUCCAGAUUUGCAAUACCAACA